CGUCUAUAUACGUAUAGCAUAUCAAUAAGCGGAGGAAAAGAAACUAACAAGGAUUCCCUUAGUAACGGCGAGUGAAGCGGGAAGAGCUCAAAUUUGAAAUCUUCAAGGUUCUACCUUGACGAAUUGUAGUUUAAAGAAGUGUUUUCUGUUAGGAGUGAGUACAAAGUUCCUUGGAAAUGGACAUCAUAGAGGGUGAGAAUCCCGUAUUUGGAUUAUUCAUUCUAGCUUUGUGAUACACUUUCAAAGAGUCGGAUUGUUUGGGAAUGCAGUCCAAAAUGGGUGGUAAAUUUCAUCUAAAGCUAAAUAUUGGCGAAAGACCGAUAGCGAACAAGUACCGUGAGGGAAAGAUGAAAAGAACUUUGAAAAGAGAGUUAAACAGUACGUGAAAUUGUCGAAAGGGAAGCGUUUGACACCAGUAUUGUUUUUCCGAAAAUCAAUUACGAAUGUUUUGUUUUUGAGGAGUUAUGACUUCAUCGGCUUGCUCCUUUCUUUACGAAACUUUCUUAAUGCACUUUUCGGUUAACAAGUCAACAUCAAUUUCUUUUGUUGUAAAAGGGUAUGAGGAAGGUGGCUUUCUUUUCGGAGAAAGUGUUUAUAGCCUUGUGCCUCUACAAUCGGAGAGAUUGAGGUCUGCAGCGUAGAUCCUUCGGGGUUAGAUACACUUUGUGCUAAGUUGUAGCUUUUCAUAGACAACUUGUUGACUAUGUUUAGUCAUUGUAGGCUUACUCGCUGACUGCUAUUUUACCUACGCUUAGGAUGUUGACUGAUAUGUAGUCGUA
rnacentral:rRNA from 1 species